CCACAGACAAUUUAGAGUCACUAAUUAACCUAAAGAGCAUGUUUUUGGUGGUGGGAGGGACAGAGAGAACCCUCCCAUGCACAGGGAGAACAUGCAAACUCCUCACAGAAAGGCCCUGACUGGGAAUCAACAGUGAGAACACACUCAAGGCAGCAAACGCAGCAGGUUGCCUUUAAGGUGUAAUGUUUGAGUGAGGACGUGAACAUCUUUACUGUGACUCUGUGUAGUUUACUGGUGACAGACGUGGAGUUCUCAGCUGCUCUCACAGAAUAUGACAAAUUCAACUCUGGAAAAACAAAACAGGAAGUACUCAGAACUCAAGCUUUGACUGUCCUGAAUGAGAGCAGACACUUUGAACAGACUGACUGAGAUAUUCUGAAGAAGAGGAUGAAAAUGGCAGAAUUAUUUUGAAUUUACCGACUGUAUUCAGGCAUUCAUCUGCAGAGGACUGGGCUGAUAACAGCAGACGUUCCUAGACACAGCUACCUGAAUGGAAGAGGAAUUUCUUGUGUGUCACCAAAAAUGAGAAUUUUGGAGAUCUUUCUGAGCGCUCACAGACAACACUGUACUCUGUAUGAACCUAAAUACAUUUGUCUUUAAAGAAGCUGAAUGAACUCUGCUUGGGUCGUCUGCUGUGAAUAAUUAUGCUCCUGAAUGUUUUUGCUCCAGCCUGUAUAUGAGAGUGUCAGCAAGCAAAGGGCCAUACGGUGUACAUCUCCUUUUACCAUGUGAUCGUAUCGAUUUGUUGAAGGAGAUAAACACAUUUAACCAUGAAAUAAAAAUUCACUAAAACAAUGUAUACCCCGUGUAGUAACAUCUUAGAAACCACAUAGAUAAACAUGAGCCUUUUUCUGUGUGUUAGUUUUAUGAACAAAAAUCUCAAAAUUCUAUACAAAGGCUUUACAGUAUACUUAAAAAGGCUAAAGGCUUUCUCCAGAGAUGAGGACUCCAGUCACACUUAAGUCGCACACAUCAGCAACUUGAGACUCCACUCGGACUUGUGAUUUGGGACUCGUGCACAACUUGGGUUUUUAUUUUAGCCACCAUGAUCUCCUGGGUCCCUGUUACUCUUUCCCCUGCCAGAAACCCAGUGAAGUAAUGUAAAUUUCUAUGUAUUGAUCCAUCCUGCCUGCCUGCAGGAGUGACCUUGUGCCCGUCAUAACAAACAACUGCUUAUUUAUUUCUUUCCACAAAUGUAUUUAAUUUCCUUACACUUAUUAUUUUUUUAUGAAUGUCCAUACCGCACACCAAUCCAUAACUAAACAUCCAUUUCGAGCUCAUCCCACAACCAGGGUUAGGUCACUUCCUCUUUCAUUCUCCUCACCUGAUGGGCACACAGGUGGCACGGCUGGAUGGCAUCAAAGGUAACGCACAGCGACUUCUUACUUUCUAGAAACUUCAGCGGCGAGUGUUAUUUCUUUGUUUACUUUAAUAAAAUGUGCAGAGUUGAUUUAAAACUCCCACUAAAUGCGUUAGUUCCUCCGUGGGACUUGCAGAGAUUUCUUUGCCAAACCUCAUUAAGAACAAUGCUAACUUAAGCUAGGCGCGGCUGCACGCUGUUUGUAUGUAUGUUUGUUAUGCUUAUUAUCAUUGAUUGAUCGGUAUAUUUCUUAGUGUGUUCUCUUGUAAUGAUCCCUUUGCUUUCUUUGAUAAUGAAUAGUAAUUGUUUUUAUUUUACUGACCCCUUUCUUUUAGGUCAGCCUCCCCCAUCCAUCCAUCCAGAGCCAUUGAGAGAGAGUUACGACACGUUUUUAUCUCGCAGCAGCGCGGUCACGUGGUUCACGUAGCUCCAAAUAGUUCCCAACAUACCAGAGCUGUCAGUCUGUUUGAAUGAGUUUGAGACCGCAGCAACGAGAGAUUUCAGUAAAUAUUAGCUUUUAAUCCACAGUGAUUGUUACUUUGAUUAUCAUAUUUAUCAUAUCUAUUGUAUAUAAUUACAACUUUUAGUAAUAGAUGCCAUUUUAGUGAUCAAAUACAGGAUUGUUGAGUUUUACAAUGAUACAUUUUGGGGGGAAUAGGGAUUACAUGGACAGUAGCAACUAGUUUUGUUGCUGCUAAUAUAUAAGGGGCAAUUUUCAAUGACUAUAAAUGCACAAUGUGUACUCAUUAUGAAUCUGACCACACCUAUAAUAGUAUUUUUUUAUGUGAUAUAGAGACAGGAUGAAACAUUUUGUCUGUUAACAUUCUGAGGGAACAGCAAAUACAUUAGUUGUCAGAACUAAUAAUAAUAAUACUAAUAACUUUAUUUGUAUAGCACUUUUAAAAACAUGGGUUUACAAAGUGCAUGCUUUUGCAUUGACAAGUGCAAAAGCAAACAGAAAACAAAGCAAAAAACCCAAGACACGAAGACAUAAUGUGACAGGCAGACAACAUCAGCAGAAUUCAACACUUAAAAAGAACUAACCAAAAAUAUGGAUGAGAUAAUAAUUCAUCAACAUCAAUAUAAACAAAGCCUAGACGUCAUGAGAUGCCAUGCGAACUAAGACAUCACAGACGUCAAUCAGAGUGCAGACAGGAGCCAUACUGCUCAACUAAGACAUCAUGAACAUCAUCAGGAUGCAGGAAAGACAGACAUCAGUACCAUAAAGCGAUAGGAACCCAGGCAAUGCAGGAACCCAGCUACACAGGCUGAGACCGAGGACCAAAAUUAAAGACGUGGGACAUUAAAAGACAGAAAGGAGUGAAAACAAAACAGGGGAUAAACAAGAAAAGGCAGUAAAAUGUAAUUAAGAGGGCAAAAACAGAUAGUAGAGCAAGGUAAAACAAGCUCUAAAACUGUAAAAGCAGUAAAAUUGACCAAUAUUAUAACAGAGGUAAACAAAAGGGAAGCAAUAAAAAUAUAAAAGCAAUAAAGUGAGGAAGACAGUAACGAUUAAAGACAGCUAAGAGGCAAGGAAAUAAGAUUAGGUUGACAGGGAGUAAAAGUGAGAUUAAGAGGAAAUUAAACGAAGAUAUGUAAGAAUCUGUGAGAACAUAAAAACUAAAUAAUAAUAACAAGAAGACGACAUCACAUAAAAGCAAGUCUAUAAGAAUGAGUUUUAGGAAGUGAUUUAAAAGAUGUCAAUGAUUCUGCAUGCCUUAUCUCCUCGGGUAGGUCGUUCCAAAGUCGAGGGGCUCUGAUGGAGAAGGCCCUGUCACCCUUAGAUUUGAGCCCCGACUUUGGGACGACCAGGAGGUUCCCCCCCGAGGAUCUGAGGCUGCGGGCUGGGACAAAAUGUACCUGUACACAGAGAGAAUGGUACAAAGACAAAUUUAAAUCCUAAAUUCCUUCUAAAGUCACUUUACCAGUAAAAUAAAAACAGAGUCAAAGCUGCAGUAAACACAAGACAUUUAUUAAUACUUAAUAGUUUUUCAUUACAUGUUAAAGUUUUUUCAAACAUGAGCUGUAACAGCUAUAAAAAUAGGAUCUAUUUCUUACAAACUUGUUUUGGCAUUAAAGAUAACAUCCACCUGCAGAAUGGAGAAAAGAACACUACUGGCUGUGCGGUCAGGUGAUAGGAAUCCAGGAAGCCUGCUGGAAAGCCAAGAGAAGAAGUAUACUGGUCAUGUGACACAUGACACCAUCCCAUCCAGUCCGCUAAAACCCAAACAUGGAGGCGACUGUGAAAGAGAGCAGCAAAGACAAGAAUGACUCUGCAGCAGAGAGGGGGGACACUGACGGAUCAUCCAACAUUCAAAGAAUCAGGGCAAACUGCAGGAAGCCGUCCAACUUUGUAGGAGUGUUGGUGAUGAAGAUUAUUGAGCAGUAUGUUUAGUUAAGUGGACGAUGAGAUGGAGCAGGUAGUUGAGCAAAUAAGAGCCGUUCAGGCUGCUUUUGCUGCUGUUGUCCUUUAGAAAUUUUAUAUCAGUAUUGGCUACAGUAAGUUUGUAAUUAUCAGCAUAUCCUGCACCCCUAGUCAAAACUAAGAGUAUAAUUAUUAUAUAGAUUAGUGUAUAGUAGUACAAUAUAGCACAAGCUUCAUGUUCUAAUGUGAGCCUUAUUUCAUUUUAUUUCAUUAUUUUACCAUCAGGUCAUUAAAUCUGGACCACGGGCCACAGUUUGGACACCACUGGUAAAAUUUAAUGAUACCCAGAACAAGAAGCUCUGGUUCACACUCCAGGACUGUAGGUGGCGGUAAUGCACAUUAACGAUGGUUGACACCCGCCAUUAAACUACAAGAAGAAGAAGAAAGAAGAGGCUGAUGGGCUCUGGAGAUCGGCGGCGUGGGUGAUGUGGUUAAUUUGAAAUUUCUGUUGAAUUUAUGGUUAAAACCUAUCCUAACUCAUCUGAAAAUCCAGUUGAUGACCUCGAACUGAAAAUCCGUCCGUUGGUGGAAAAGUUUGAGGUGGACAGAACUGAGGACAAUGGGGAAGUCUUCGAAGAAAACAACGGCAGGUAGGCACAACUGUGUUGUGAAUGGACCAGAGUGGGGAGAUACUGAUGGAUCAGAUGAGAGUGAGGAAAUGGAGAUUACUCGAAGUAGUCGUAAAUCAAAGGAUAGAGGAGAGGGUGAACCUACUGAGGCAGUGGUUAAGAAAUUCAGGAGUGUUCGGGGCGACGAGGAAGGAGGUUUGGGAAGGAGACAGGCAGGAUCUGAAUUUUAAAUCAUUUUGCGUUUUGGAGAGGCAAAUGGAGUUUUGUCAAUGAGUCCGGUAAGGCUAACCAUGAUUUUGAAAAACCAGGUAGGGGAUAAACAGAUGGCAAAGGUCCUGAAAGAUGGAAACUUGUUGAUUUGUUGUAGCAACGAAGAGCAGAGAAUGUGUGCAGUAAGGUUAACGGAAAUCAGACGGUUUAAAGUGGUAAGUGUGAGUUGUAUUGACAACAGAACUAAGUGGAUUAAAGGAGUGAUUUGGGGAGUGCCUGUUGGUGUACAUAUAGAUGAAAUCAUUGCCAAUGUAAAAGGAGGAGCGGUGAAAGCUGCAUGGCGACUGCAGGUUACCAGGGAGAAAGUGAGGAAGGAGAGUGAAGGCAUUGUACUGGAGUUUGAUGAAGAAGUUCUCCCUACAAAAGUAACACUUGGCUUCAUGAGCCAUAAUGUCAGGGAGUACAUCCCUAAGCCAAUGAGGUGUUAUAACUGUUAAAGGUUUGGUCACACAGCCAAGACAUGUAAAGGUAAGAGGAGAUGUGCCUGAUGUGGUGAAGAUCAUGACUAUGAGCAGUGUAGUCAUACACAACUGAAAUGUUGUAACUGUGGUGGUAACCAUAGCGUUGCAUACGGAGGGUGUGAGGUAAUGAAGAAGCAAAUGGAAAUCCAACAGGUUAAAGUUCAGGAGAAAGUCUCCUAUGCAGAAGCAGUUAAAAUGGUGAAUAUGAAAAGAGGAAAUGAUGGAAGAGGAAGAGCAGGAAAUGCAGUCUCAAGCAACCCAGACUCAAUCAAUGACAAUAAAAUGUUGGUGGACUUAAAGAAAUUGGUAACAUUCAUAGCUGGAGCCAUAAAUGCGACCAUGGAUGUUAAGUCAAAAACUGAGAGAAUCCAGACCAUAGUAAAAGUGGCAGUCCAUCACUUUGAGUUGAGUGAGAUGACUUGGGAAGAGGUGAGGGAUGACCUCAGUGCUCAUGCUAGUCAGGAGCAGGUAUGGGUUGGCUAACCUUGAUAAUGUUGUUAAUACUACAAUGGAAUGCAAGAAGUUUGUUAGCAAAUGGACAAGAAUUUAAAAAGUUUGUUGAUGAUUUAACUUGUAAAGCACUAGGUAGUAACCGAAAGAACGAGAUCACAGAUACAGGCAGCUGAAAUGAGUUUCAUCCACAGGGUGUCGGGGCUCUCCCUUAGAGAUAGGGUGAGAAGCUCGGCCAUCCGGGAGAGACUCGGAGUAGAGCCGCUGCUCCUCUGCGUUGAGAGGAGCCAGAUGAGGUGGCUCGGGCAUCUGGUCCGGAUGCCUCCUGGACACCUCCCUGGAGAGGUGUUCCUGGUCUCUCAGGACAUGCUGGAGAGACUACGUUGCUCGGCUGGCCUGUGAACGCCUUGGGAUCCCCCAGGAAGAGCUGGAUGAAGUGGCCUGAGAGAGGGAAGUCUGGGCUUCCCUGCUUAGGCUGCUGACCCCAUGAACCGAUCUCGGAUAGGCGGAAGAAGAUGGAUGGAUGAAUGGAUAUUAUCUGUGUACAAGAAACAUGGCUUAGACCUAUCCUAGAUUUCAGGAUACAGGGGUACAAUUCUAUUAGAUGUGACAGGAGAGAUGGAGGAGGGGGAGGUUGUGCAACAUUUGUUCGAGAAGGAAUUGCCUUUCGAGAAAUAGGAAUAGAAAUGAACAUGAAUUUGUAACUGUAGAAACGUGGACAGAGGAAGGGGAAUUUAUGAUUAUUAUUAUAAUCCAUGUAAAAAAACUGGAUCUAAACAUGUUUACACAAAUAGAAGGGCUAGAUGGCAACAGGGUGCUUAUAUGUGGGGACUUUAAUGCACAUGGCACAUUAUGGGGAGGAAUAAAAACAGAUGUAAACGGUGAGGUAAUAGAAGAGCUUCUGGAUGAAAGGAACUGGCAGAAAAAUGUGAAUGGGAUGUAUUUGAGGAAUCUUCAGUUGGCAGUGACCACUUUCCAAUUUUUUGUAAAAUGAGAUUUAAAAAGAGUAAGAGCCAAGUGAAUGUCAUGGGGAAAUGGAUGUUUGCCAAUGCUAACUGGGAAUUGUUUAAAUAUAUAAGUGAGAAUGAAAUACAUGAAGUUGAUUUAAAUGAAAGCAUAGAGGAAAUUGAGAGUGUGAUUAAAACUGUGUUAAUAGAAGCAGCCCAUAAGGCAAUUCCUAAAAGUAAAGGAAAAAUGAAGAGAACAGCAGUUCCUUGGUGGACUGAAGAGUGUGCUAAUGCAAUUUAAAAAAGGAAUAAAACUCUGAAAAUACUAAAACAAACCCAUACCUUCUAAAACGUAUUAAAUUAUAAACAAGCCCAGGCAAAGGUCAGGAAAAUCAUCCGCCAAGCAAAAAGAGCAAGUUGGAAGAAAUUCUGUAAUAAAAUAGGAAGAACAACUCCUAUAAGUGACAUAUGGAAUAUGAUAAAGAGUAUGAGAGGAAUCCGGAGGGAGAGACAAUAUCCAGAGUUAAAGAGUGGGAUAGAAACAGCAAUCUGUGAUGGAGAGAAAGCCGAGAUGACUGCAAAAGCACUUGUGAAAAUACUUAGUUCUAAAAACUUGAGCGAAAAAGGGGAAGAAAUCAACAAGAUCAGAAAACCCUGGUGCUCUUGGGAGGAAAAAUAACUUCGACAGUGUAAUGGAUGCUCCCUAUACAAUGGAAGAAAUGCAAAGGGCCAUAUUAAGAUCAGGUGAAUCCUCCCCAGGAAAGGAUGAUAUAUGUUAUGUCAAGCAUCUUGGUGCUGUGGCAAGUGAAAACUUGCUUGGAUUAUAUAAUAGAAUAUGGGGCGAAGGGAUAUUACCAUCUGGGUGGAAAUAAGCGGUUAUUAUUCCUAUCAGGAAACCUGGUAAAGGUGGGUCAAACCCAGUGAAUUACUGGAGAGGUGUGAUGAUGGAGGGAGAUCCUCCUCUCUGAUGAACUGCAGACCAGAUCUGGUUUCCACCGUGGUUCUUGCUGGAUGGUUUAGGUGGGACUGUUUAACCUCUGGUAGGAUAGGAGAGUCUGCUAGCACAGCUCGUCCUCUUCAUCAUAACAGAAACCUGAGGGAGGGAGAAAAUAUGAAGAACAGGUUAGACUAUCAGCAACAAUCCUUCUUCUGUGGCUGGACUAUUUUAAUAUUUAUUUUAAUAUUUCUUUCCUUCAGACUGACAGGAUUAUUUUAAUGCUGCCUUAUAAAUCAAUCAGUAUAUAACUGGAGUAGUUAGCAGCUUUUGAAGUCACACUCCACUGUUUUCAGAUCAGCAGCUUCAUUUGAACGGACUUUAACGUCUAAAAUAACCACAGAGUUGUUCCACAGUGGAAACAGUUUUUAAAGACAUGCAGGGUUCAAGUGGUUUCAUGGAAGUCCAUGCUAGGCUAGCUUAAAACGUUCCACUAUCAAAGUAAUAAUACUAAUAAUAAAUUUAUUUAUAAAGUGCUUUCAGGCAAAGUGCUGUACAUAGAGAUAAAAUCAACUUGACAAUAAAAACAUCAGAGAAUCCACAUAUACAAACAUACUGAGACAACACAAAUGGACAUCAGUAAAACAAUUUAAGACUCAUAUGUAACAGUAAACAAGUGGGUCUUCAGCUUUGCUUUAAAUACAUUGAUGGAAGAUGCCUGCCUGAUUUCAACAGGUAGACUGUUUCAUAAUGUUGGUGCACGGAAAGAAAAAGCCCGUUCCCCAACCAUCUUUUUUUGGUCCUUUGGGACGCUAAGAAGCCCAGUACCCUGAGAACGCAAGGCAUGAGUAGGGACAUAUGGGUUUACCAAAUUUGAUAGGUAAGAAGGGGCAAUGCCAUUUACAAUUUUAUAUGUUAGCAGCAGCACCUUAAAGUCUGCUCUAACAUGAACAGGUAGCCAGUGAAGAGAGGCCAGAAAGUUUCACUGUGUCAGAAAAAAGGUAGAAAAAACCCAAACAAAUGCACUGAGUAAAAAUAUUCAGAUGUAGAGAAGCUUUCUCUGACCUCUGUAGCUCCAGGAUAGUCAGAUAGUCCUCCAGAAUGUGAAGAUAUGAAGCUGACCCGUGGAACGAUUAUAUCCGGCCCACCAGAUCAUAUUAGUAUUCUAACUGUCCCACCAGCCUGAGGUCUGCAGAUUUACUCCAGUAUAAAAAUGUAAACUUCAACUUGAUUAUUCAAAAUAUUAAGACAUAAAAAUCUGAAACAGUAAAGAGUAAGAAAGAUUUCAGAAAAGUCCAGAAUG